CACAUUGAGUUGAGGCAUUGGCCAGUAUUCUUAAGGAUUUUAUGACGAUAACAACUUGAGUUUUUAUUUCGCUUCGUUGGUUUGAAAAAUGUCGAAAUCUUUCGUUGUUUCAAUUUUGCUCGUUUUGAGUGUGAUUUGCUAUGUGAAUGGUGAGACUAGUGCUGUGAAAGUGACCACACCACAAAAAAACCCAGAUCAUCCAAAUAAAUGCUGGGAUGAAGCCUCACAGACCGCUUAUUCGGUUGGAUCACAUUUACCGAAGAAUUCAUGCGAACGCAUUCAUUGCUAUCCUGAUUUCCGUAUCAAAUACACAUCAUGUGGUACACAUUCCGGUGGUGAAGGCUAUACAAUCGAACAAGACUUAUCUAAAGCGUAUCCAGACUGUUGCGCUAAGCUAGUCAAGGUCGAGAAGAAAGCCAAACGGGUCGAACCCAUUAAUGCAAGUGAAGUGAAAAUCAAUAAAUUCCGCACCAGAGAUCGAUCAGUUGAUUUGAAACUUCAUAAAGCUGAAUCCACACCAGCUCCAGCGAAGGAUGCCACAGAAAAAGAAACCGCGAAUUCCGAAUAAAAACCUCUAAAAAUAUCACAAAAAAAUAGAAAAAAAUAUGCAAUAAAAAGUUAUUCAUCGGUAUGUUUCAACUAGUUUUAUUUGUAAAUAGAGAAUGAGAUGGAGGGAGUGAUACGAUUUGAUUGAAGGAAAAAAGACUUAGACGUCACCAAAAGGGAAAAUCCAAUAUCAAUGUCAGUUACUAGGUGUUAUGCAGAGCAGAUGUCGGAUUUCACGACAUUUAAAAGCGCGUUUCGCUUUUUAUUGGCCACCAAAUUGACAUGAUGCAGGCCCCUCUCGUCGUCGAUGAAUAUACGCUAAUUGGCAACUAACCAUAUUCUGUCAAUAUUCUCAAUCUGCAUAAAGUGUGCGAAUGUACAUUGAAUAUUAAACAUUUUUCGUUGUUUUCAGUGUUUUUUCGACGUUCACUUGGAAUUUCAUUAAAUAAACAGUCGUUAUCAAUUUGCUCCAACGCAUAAUAGAUUGGCGCGAGUGAAUGGAGUGUGCUCACAACGUAAUCAGAACGGGUGAAAAUGUCAUAAAUUCAACUGUGCUACAGCGUUUUGCUGAUAUGAAAUGAUAAACAUCCCAAAAAUGUUGUUAUUAUUAUUUUGUUACUAACGAAAAUUUAACUACAUCAUUUCCAUAGCAGCUAUAUAUAACAGAGCGGUUAGGAACAAAGCGUCAAGUCAUUACUUUAGUGACUACCAACGAGGGAGUAAGUCAAUUUAAUUAAAAUGGCAAAGUUUAUUCUACAAUUAUUCGUUUUGCUUUGUGCCAUUUACAUGGCUUCGGCUGCUGUCGCUUAUGGCUUGCCACAUAAAGAUCAUCCUGGACAGUGCUGGGAUGGUGAAAAAGCCUAUAACAAUGGCACCUACUAUUCAGAAACGUGCACAAAGCUAGUAUGUUUCGAAAACGGCGAUUUUUACAUUGAAUCAUGCGGAUCAGUCUCACCACCUGAAGGCUAUGAAAACGUUCCCGAUUUUUUGAAAAAGUAUCCAGAUUGUUGCAUUAACUUAGUGAAAAAAGAAGACAAAGAGAAUAUAAUUGAAUAAACAGAACGUUUUCAACAUUUAUGCAAACAAUUUUUUUUUCUAUUUGAAUUUCAUUAUUACACGCCCAUGAGUGUAUCUUAGGGAAAUGAAACGAUCAUUUUGAACCUUGUACACUGAUAGACUGAGCUUAUCGCAUGCAUCAUUCGACCUACAGCACUAAAAUGUGCAAACAUUUUACGCCACUUGAACACAACUUCAUCUCGAUUGGAUGUGUAAAUAAAGUCUGAGAGCAUAAAGCACAAAUAGCCGUGCCGUCAGAAUGUCAGUAUUAAACUUGUCGCCGCAGAAAUAGGUACGCAGAAGAUGAAGUUUGGUUUCGCAUUGUUUUGUUUGGUGUUUAUGACACUGAUUUCGUCAUUGGAAUGUGCCGAUCGAGUUGUGUGGAUCGCAGGUGAAUCUGGUGUUCAUCCCGAUCAUCCGGGCAAAUGUUGGUCACAAUCACUGAACAAGGAAUUUCGCCUUGGUGAAGAAAUCACCGACAAAACCAACUGUGAACUCAUUCGAUGCGGAGUGAAUUUGAAAUUUUCGAAGAGAGUUUGCUCAACCCGAUUACCACAGCCAGGAUGCUCAAGAAUUAAACCAGAUGACUCGAAAAACUAUCCAGACUGCUGCGGAACGAUACAUUGCCCACCAGUUAAAAUUGACUACUGAAUGGAAUGAAAUUAAGUCACAACCAAAAAUCACUUUCUUUCUAGUUCGCAUCAAGCUUCGUCCAUUGCGAAGAACCAAUACAUAUUGACAUUAUGACAAAUUUGAACUGAUUAACACUCAAGAUCGAAUAAAUAUAUAUGCUAAUUUUGUGUUA